UUUGGAAUUACCGGCCUAGGGGCAUAUUGCAACCUUGCCUCGCUGAAGAUAAAUUUGUGCUGCAUUU